UACGAAGGGUGCAAACGUUGCUCGGAAUCAUUGGGCGUAAAGCGCACGUAGGCGGCGCAGUAAGUCGGACGUGAAAAUCCCUCGGCUCAACCGAGGACGUGCAUCCGAAACUACUGUGCUCGAGUAUGGAAGAGGGUCGCGGAAUUCUCGGUGUAGAGGUGAAAUUCGUAGAUAUCGGGAGGAACACCAGUGGCGAAGGCGGCGACCUGGGCCAAUACUGACGCUGAGGUGCGAAAAGCGUGGGGAGCAAACAGG
rnacentral:rRNA from 1 species